ensembl:misc_RNA Metazoa_SRP Metazoan signal recognition particle RNA
GCUGGGCAUGGUGGCUCAUGCCUGUAAUCCCAGCACUUUGGGAGGCCGAGGUGGGUGGAUCACCUGAGGUCAGGAGUUCGAGACCGGCCUGGCCAACAUGGUGAAAGCUCAUCUCUA